rnacentral:rRNA from 1 species
UACGUAGGGUGCGAGCGUUAAUCGGAAUUACUGGGCGUAAAGCGUGCGCAGGCGGUUAUGUAAGACAGAUGUGAAAUCCCCGGGCUCAACCUGGGAACUGCAUCAGUGACUGCAUAGCUAGAGUGCGGCAGAGGGGGAUGGAAUUCCGCGUGUAGCAGUGAAAUGCGUAGAUAUGCGGAGGAACACCGAUGGCGAAGGCAAUCCCCUGGGCCUGCACUGACGCUCAUGCACGAAAGCGUGGGGAGCAAACAGG